rnacentral:rRNA from 1 species
GAUGAACGCUGGCGGCGUGCCUAAUACAUGCAAGUCGAGCGAACAGACGAGGAGCUUGCUCCUCUGACGUUAGCGGCGGACGGGUGAGUAACACGUGGAUAACCUACCUAUAAGACUGGGAUAACUUCGGGAAACCGGAGCUAAUACCGGAUAAUAUAUUGAACCGCAUGGUUCAAUAGUGAAAGACGGUUUUGCUGUCACUUAUAGAUGAAUCCGCGCCGCAUUAGCUAGUUGGUAAGGUAACGGCUUACCAAGGCAACGAUGCGUAGCCGACCUGAGAGGGUGAUCGGCCACACUGGAACUGAGACACGGUCCAGACUCCUACGGGAGGCAGCAGUAGGGAAUCUUCCGCAAUGGGCGAAAGCCUGACGGAGCAACGCCGCGUGAGUGAUGAAGGUCUUCGGAUCGUAAAACUCUGUUACUAGGGAAGAACAAAUGUGUAAGUAACUAUGCACGUCUUGACGGUACCUAAUCAGAAAGCCACGGCUAACUACGUG